rnacentral:tRNA from 1 species
GCCCGGAUAGCUCAGUCGGUAGAGCAGGGGAUUGAAAAUCCCCGUGUCCUUGGUUCGAUUCCGAGUCCACGCCCCG